rnacentral:rRNA from 1 species
AACUGUAAAGGAGAAAAUAAAAAGGGAAAGAAUAUAUAUAAUAUAGUACCUUUUGUAUCAGGGUUAAUUAAUAUAAGAAUAAAUUUAAUAAUUUCGAAAUUACUUGAUUUAAAGAAGUGUGUAUUAUAUUUAUAGCAAAAAAGAUAUAGUCUUCUUUAGAGGUGAGAAUUUUUACGAAAGUAAAAAUAUCUAAUUGAACUUGAAAUUUAAAGUAUAUUCUAGGGUAGAAUAAACUCUGUCGGGUAAGCUGACAGAAGAUAAAUGAGAAGGGUAAUCUGUAAAAAACUAGGCUUUAAAUUAGCUAUGCUAAUAAUUUGUAUUAAAUAAUUUUUAUACCCCUACAUAAGGGAAUUUAUAGUUAAGGUUCUAAUUUUUGUAACAGAUAAAAAAAUGAGAAAAUGAUUAAAUAAGUAUUUUUGAUAGAUUAAUAUAACGAACUCAGUUAUAUUCAGACUGUUUAACAAAAACAUCUCUUCUUGAAAAAUAAAAAGUAAGACCUGCCCGGUGAGUAUUUAACGGCUGCGGUAUCUUGACCGUGCUAAGGUAGCAUAAUAAAUUGUUUCUUAAUUGGGGACUAGAAUGAAGGGUCCCACGGCUUAUAAAUUUAUUUAUUUUAGUAAAAUAAAUUUUACUAUAAGUAAGAAUACUUAUAUCUUAUAAAGGGACGAUAAGACCCUAGAAGCUUUAAUUUUUAAAAAUAUAUAAUAGUUUUAUUUAUUCUUUGUAUUUAUAAUAAUUUUAAUUGGGGAAAUAGAAAUUUUUAUAAUAUUUUUACAACAGUAGUUAAUCUUUUUAUAAGAAAACUAGUAUUAGUUACUCUAGGGAUAACAGCGCAAUAAUUUUGGGUAGGCCUUAUACAUAAUAUUGAUUGCGACCUCGAUGUUGAAUUAAAAUAUCCCUGUAGAGUAGAAACUAUAGCGGAGGGUUUGUUCAACCUUUAAUUUUUUACAUGAUUUGAGUUCAGAUCGGUUUAAGCCAGAUCGGUUUCUAUCUUUUAUAAAAAUAAAUUUUUUUAGUACGAAAGGACCAAAAAGUUUUAAUAAUU